GAAAAUUUACAAUCCUCCACAAGUUUCCAAGUCAGAUUCCAAUUUCUCCACCCUCCAAGAUCCAACUUGGAGUUGAGAGUUGUUGUUGAUCAAUUCCUAUUGUGAAGAUAUGUUGGGCAUCUUCUUACUGAUGAACCAUAGACGGCCUUCCUCAAGGAUUAUUUUGCUGGUCUAGCUUUUCCUUAUUUGCUUGGGCAUCCACACUAGGUUUCCUUGAAGGCACAUAUGUAAUGGGAUGAUAAUAUGUGGAUACGAGAUAAAUAAGAUCAAAAUAAGGAAAGAAGUGAAAUUUGAAGACCUGGAGCAGAACAUAGCAUCAGUUACCAUGAUCGCGGUUUGAGGACUGUAAUCGUGGGCAAUCAAGAAGGCCAACAUACCAAGAUCACGUGGUUUUGACUGCAGUUGCGGUAGCCGCAAACUUGGACAACUCUCAUGAUCGUGACCUAGCGGAAAAUGCAAUCCAAUGGAAGAAACAUAAAUACAGGCAUGAUAGUGCCCAAGCGCACACGCAAUUGUACAUGGUCUACAAGUAAUAUAGUGGCCUUAAAGAAAGCCGAAUAUAGAUACCACAGGGACUUGUUCUAACAACUAUCAACUUUUAGUUCUCUUAUUAAGAUUAACUUGAUGCAAAGUAACCACAAAGAGUUUGUAAUUGUUAAACUAUAAAUAAAGUGAUCAAUGCAUAAAAUAAAAGACCUGAGACAAUCAAUAGAGUAAAGCCCAGGGUUAAAGUA